AUGGCCUGGUUUUGCCCAGCCGUAGCUCCGCCAGUGCCCUUAAGUCACUGGCCAUACCACAACGCUCCAAUUACAUCCUCCAUCUCCGCCUUAUUGCGGUCAUCAUGCUUACACAAGCUGAUACUGCAUUCUUACGCGCAAUUUUCCAAGGAUAUGUGUUUGUUUGAUGUCAGCUUUGACACGGACACAGCGAUUCGGUGCCCGAGCGCAGCUGGACCUGAAAUCGUCCGCGUUGGUUGUGGUCUAGGGAUUCGCAGAAUUCUUUCUGACACGUCUGGGCGUAUUGCAUUGAAAAAGCGAGAUACUGCUCGUCUGGACCGCGUACGCAGCCGGUCGUUGUGGGGCCGCCGCUUUGCACAACGCUCGUGCCAACCGCAACGCUUCUCGAAACCAGCCGCCGCCGCGGACAGCUAUCCACUAUCCUCCCGAGGGCCGCCGCUGACCAUGGCUGCGCUGCCCCCCAUCGCCUUGACUUGCAGGUUUCCAUUCCGUCAAGACUUUGCGGACAGCUUGAACCUCCCAGAUCCGGUUCCUCUGGCGGUCCUCCCGCGGAUUGCUGCGAGCGCUGAGCCGGCUGAGUGGAAUGCCGUCUACUGGUGCGGCCAGCGUAUUGGCGGCGCUAGACAGGGCAGGCCGCAGGACGACGGGCGACAGCGGCGGGAGGCUUCUCCGACAAGGUCGGCGGAGUCAACGGACAGGGUGAAUCUGGAGGGUCUGGAUGGACAAAAAGUUUUUAGAAAAGGACAUCUAGAUGCUGCAGAAAAUUCUGGAGAAGUUGCGGGUGUCCAGAAGAUGUGUAUACAGUCUGUUACGUCUUGGGAGUGCGCCGCCGGACAGAACACGUGUCCAUCUAGGACGAGUGCCCGAGAGCAGUCAAUCCGCAAUUUCGACUCACUUGGCGAGGCGUACUACUUCUACAAUAUGUAUUCGUGGGAGAUCGGGUUAGGGAUAAGGUAUGGCAAGCGCCCUAUAACGGUGUCAAUCCUCCAAGGCUCCAACCCCCAGGGAAUCAACGUGAAGACUGUCUCCUACAGGAAGACGACUUCCUCUGCAGUUCCAUGGGAAGAGGGCGGCUACUGCCAGGGGCGCCGCUUGCUGACCACCGGCAAUCGAGGAGGUCACCAGGGAUGGCCGGAUGGACUCCAUGACAGAGGGGGAGAGGGCGGCCUCCGCCGCUGCCACCGGAGUGGAGAUCGGUGGGAGAGAGUUGAUGCCGGCACCGGGGUGGUGAGGAGGUGGGUGCUCUCAGCAGGGGACAAUGGAACUCCGCAAAAGGCCGUGACAUUAAAAAUAGUGCAUGCUGAGUGUUCGCGUGCAUGGGGUGGCAUGCAUGUGGAUGAAUGUGUUCCCGGGUCGCGAGAAGACGGACUUGCAAAUAGCAUUCCAAGAAAACAAGGCUCUCCCGACCGCGACCGCGCCGCCCCCGUGGGCGGCCGGCCGCGCCUCUCCUCCUUCCCCGCGAGCCCUCCCCCCUCUCCUCCUCCUCCCUGCUGCCCCAUCAGGAAGCGGUGGCGAGCGGCGAUGAUCGGCGGGUCUGGUGGCGUCGACGCCAGCCUGCUGCAGCAUGGCCGGCGGGGCUUAGCGGGCCAUUUCGGGCCUGGCCGGGCCAGGGGUGGCCCGGUAUGCCCCGCUGUCGUGUCCGGACGGCUACCGCGACGGUGCCGGAGGCGCGAUCCUCCCACACGACAGCGGUGGAGGUGGUUCCCUCCUGCUCGGCCUUGGUGCUGCUGCUCCCAUCGCUUGGAUCUUCUCUCCGGUCUUCUUGACCUCGUGGUGGUGCUCGCAGCAAGACGACGUUGGUGGCGGCGCAACCGUGAUAGCGCAUGGUUGGGCGGUGGUUUGGUUGGUCGGCUCCGAUUGGCCGGUGGGGUUUGGCGUGCGGGAGAAAACCUUGCCGGUUCGUCCGGCUCCGAUGCGGUGACACCAGCGGGUGCCACUAUCCCUUCUUGGAGGGUGCCGGGAGUAGCUAUCCCCCACCUCCCUCCGCGCACUGGGGGGAAACCCUAG
rnacentral:rRNA from 1 species